AGAGUUUGAUCCUGGCUCAGGAUGAACGCUAGCUACAGGCUUAACACAUGCAAGUCGCGGGGCAGCAUGGGGGUUGCUUGCAACCCCUGAUGGCGACCGGCGCACGGGUGAGUAACGCGUAUCCAACCUGCCCUUCACCACGGGAUAACCCGGCGAAAGUCGGACUAAUACCGUAUGUUGUCCAUUGACGGCAUCCGAUUUGGACGAAAGGCUUAGCGGUGAGGGAUGGGGAUGCGUCCGAUUAGCUUGACGGCGGGGUAACGGCCCACCGUGGCAACGAUCGGUAGGGGUUCUGAGAGGAAGGUCCCCCACACUGGAACUGAGACACGGUCCAGACUCCUACGGGAGGCAGCAGUGAGGAAUAUUGGUCAAUGGGCGGAAGCCUGAACCAGCCAAGUAGCGUGCAGGAUGACGGCCCUAUGGGUUGUAAACUGCUUUUAUGCGGGGAUAAAGUGAGGGACGUGUCCUUCAUUGCAGGUACCGCAUGAAUAAGGACCGGCUAAUUCCGUGCCAGCAGCCGCGGUAAUACGGAAGGUCCGGGCGUUAUCCGGAUUUAUUGGGUUUAAAGGGAGCGUAGGCCGCCCCUUAAGCGUGUUGUGAAAUGCGGGUGCUCAACAUCCGACUUGCAGCGCGAACUGGGGGGCUUGAGUGCGCCGAAAGUAGGCGGAAUUCGUGGUGUAGCGGUGAAAUGCUUAGAUAUCACGAAGAACUCCGAUUGCGAAGGCAGCUUACUGUAGCGCAACUGACGCUGAUGCUCGAAAGCGUGGGUAUCGAACAGGAUUAGAUACCCUGGUAGUCCACGCGGUAAACGAUGGAUGCUCGUUGUCGGCCUUUGUGGUCGGUGACCAAGCGAAAGCGUUAAGCAUCCCACCUGGGGAGUACGCCGGCAACGGUGAAACUCAAAGGAAUUGAC
rnacentral:rRNA from 1 species